rfam:Eutrema salsugineum unplaced genomic scaffold scaffold_11, whole genome shotgun sequence.
AAACCAUGGUGUGGGCAAUCCUAUUGGUAGUCUCUAAAUCUUUCUCAGGCGUCAUUGAGGUCUUCUAUGUCCUCCUGCUGAAAAUUUUGGAUCUUGUCCCUUAAGAGAUU